UGGGAGAGGAAGAAAAGAGAAAGAUAGAAGAGAGGGGAGGGGGAGCAGAUUGAGAGAGAGGAUUGAGAGAGAGCGAGCGAGGAAGCGGAUUGAGAGAGAGGGAACGGAUUGAGAGAGAGGGAUUGAGAGAGAGAGAGAGAGAGGUAGCGAGAGAGAGGCAGCGAGAGGUAGCGAGAGAGAGAGUGAGAGGUAGCGAGAGAGAGAGAGUGAGAGGUAGCGAGAGAGAGAGAGGUAGCGAGAGAGAGAGAGAGAGAGAGAGGUAGCGAGAGAGAGAGAGGUAGCGAGAGAGAGACAGAGAGAGAGACAGAGAGAGAGAGAGGUAGCGAGAGAGAGGUAGCGAGAGAGAGAGGUAGCGAGAGAGAGAGGUAGCGAGAGAGAGAGGUAGCGAGAGAGAGAGAGAGAGAGGUAGCGAGAGAGAGAGAGAGGUAGCGAGAGAGAGAGAGGGGUAGCGAGAGAGAGAGAGGGGUAGCUAGAGAGAGAGAGAGGUAGCGAGAGAGAGAGAGAGGUAGCGAGAGAGAGAGAGGUAGCGAGAGAGAGAGGUAGCGAGAGAGAGAGGUAGCGAGAGAGAGAGGUAGCGAGAGAGAGAGGUAGCGAGAGAGGUAGCGAGAGAGAGAGGUAGCGAGAUAGGUAGCGAGAGAGAGGUAGCGAGAGAGAGAGAGGUAGCGAGAGAGAGAGGUAGCGAGAGAGAGAGGUAGCGAGAGAGAGAGGUAGCGAGAGAGGUAGCGAGAGAGAGAGGUAGCGAGAGAGGUAGCGAGAGAGAGGUAGCGAGAGAGAGAGGUAGCGAGAGAGAGAGGUAGCGAGAGAGAGAGGUAGCGAGAGAGAGAGGUAGCGAGAGAGGUAGCGAGAGAGGUAGCGAGAGAGGUAGCAAGAGAGGUAGCGAGAGAGGUAGCAAGAGAGAGGUAGCGAGAGAGAGAGGUAGCGAGAGAGAGAGAGAGAGAGAGGUAGCGAGAGAGAGGGAGAGAGAGAGAGAGAAAGGUAGCGAGAGAGAGAGAGGUAGCGAGAGAGAGAGAGAGGUAGCGAGAGAGAGAGAGAGGUAGCGAGAGAGAGAGAGAGAGGUAGCGAGAGAGAGAGAGAGGUAGCGAGAGAGAGGUAGCGAGAGAGAGGUAGCGAGAGAGAGAGAGGUAGCGAGAGAGAGAGAGGUAGCGAGAGGUAGCGAGAGAGAGAGAGGUAGCGAGAGAGACAGGUAGCGAGAGAGAGGUAGCGAAAGAGAGGUAGCGAGAGAGAGAUAGCGAGAGAGAGAGGGAGGUAGCGAGAGAGAGAGAGGUAGCGAGAGAGAGAGAGAGUGGGCGAGAGAGAGAGGUAGCGAGAGAGAGAGAGUGGGCGAGAGAGAGAGGUAGCGAGAGAGAGAGAGUGGGCGAGAGAGAGGUAGCGAGGAGAGAGAGAGGUA